ACCUGUUAAUGUAGGGUAUACUGUUUCUCUGAACAUCUCCUGUAGAGCUAUGGAUCCCUGGUAUGGCCUUCCACACACUGACGACACCGUCACCAUGUUUAGGCGAAUUCCACAUCGAGUUAACUGCGAAAGUCUGUUUAAAGGACUGUACCAGUUUUCUUACGAGAAGAAUAGGGGAGACGGAGAUCUGUGACAACUUCAAUAAUCAAAUCAGUGCUUGUCAAGAACCAGGAUCCCAAUACGUAGGCAACGAAGUUUUUCUCAAUGACGUAUGCAAGUUGUCCAAAUAUACUGACGUCAACAAAUAAAAAGGUGAGAUACCAGUGUAUGGGCACAUGGGAUGCUGAACAGAAUGGCCGGUUUUACACGUUUGCUGCCGUUUCUGACCUUGCGGAGAGGGAGACUAACCCUAGUUUUGGAUUCCAGUGUUUGAUGACAUUAAAAUCCCAGAAAGGAGAUGAGAUGCGAUGGGUGAUGUCCCGUUUUGCUGAUUGCUCACGUUUGUAUAGUAUUGGCGGUGGACCAGUUAGAUUAGUACUAAAAAGGGUUGUUGCCACUGAGCACAUGAACUCUCGCUGUAAUCUGCCGAGCGAUCUUGCAGGAAAAUGGGAAACCAAGGGACCAGGAUUCAAAUAUGAUGUGGUCAUAAAUGAAACAAAUAUCCGUUUCCAACUGAACCUAAGGCAAUCGAGUUCGUGGAUUCUAUAUUCGCAUGUCAGAAAAAAUCUGGUACCAGGUACUUAAUGGCGCGUGCUAUUGCUGGAGAAUGUGAUGAGGUCUUUGUAUGCAUGGAUAUCGUGCCACAAACUUACAACACCCUUAGAUACAGAAUAGGUAAACCAGAAAAAAGUCCGUUGCAUAUCUUCCGGGAAGAAUUAGAUAUUACCAGAAUGUUUAGGGUUGCUUGUCAUUGGUUUGAUCGUGUAGGUAUAAAGGGA